rnacentral:rRNA from 1 species
UCUGAAUCUGCGAACGGCUCCGCAAACCAGUUGUAAACCAUAGCAAGCCUGCUCGGGCUGGGCCUCGCGGUCCGGCCCGGGCGAAACGGAUAACCCUGGUAAUUCUGAGGCUAAUACGUGUAUGGAACACCCGGUGGACUGGCUUCGGCCGGGAAGCCGGGAGACGAGUAACAUUGCUUGGGUUAUCCAGGAAAGGGCGCUCGCCUUGACCGCGUUAUAAAGGACGGCCCUCACGGGCUUUCCCAGCGGCUCUUGCGCGGUGCUUCUGACCUAUCAACUAGAUGGCAGCGUAACGGACAUGCUAUGGU